UGAAUCGGUAAUUGAGUUAGAAAUUGAGAAAUUAAAGUGGGUUCGGUGAACACAUUAUGAUGAGGAAGAAUUAGUGAUUGAUGUGUGAGUUUUAAUGAAGAUUAGAGAAGCUAAGUUUUAGAUAUUGUGGUGGAUGAUUUUGCGAGUUGCAGGAAUCACAUUAUGGAUCUCUCCGAAUUUUGUGGCUGAAGAGGAUGUGGAAACAGUUGAAACUGCUGGAACACAAACAGUUGAAUUCUGUGUAGACAUAUUUCUAAAAUUCAUGAAUCCAGGAGGACUUACAAGUUGAUUUAGGCAUAC